GACGAAGGGGGCUAGCGUUGUGCGGAAUUACUGGGCGUAAAGGGCGCGUAGGCGGUCUUGUAAGUCAGAUGUGAAAGCCCCGGGCUCAACCCGGGAAUAGCAUUUGAUACUGCGAGGCUUGAGUCCGGGAGAGGAUGGCGGAAUUCCCAGUGUAGAGGUGAAAUUCGUAGAUAUUGUGAAGAACACAGGUGGCGAAGUCGGCCAUCUGGACCGGUACUGACGCUGAGGCGCGAAAGCGUGGGGAGCAAACAGG
rnacentral:rRNA from 1 species